rnacentral:rRNA from 1 species
GACGAACCGUACGAACGUUAUUCGGAAUCACUGGGCGUAAAGGGUGCGUAGGCGGGUGUUUAAGUCAGGGGUGAAAUCCUGGAGCUCAACUCCAGAACUGCCUUUGAUACUGAGGAUCUUGAGUUCGGGAGAGGUGAGUGGAACUGCGAGUGUAGAGGUGAAAUUCGUAGAUAUUCGCAAGAACACCAGUGGCGAAGGCGGCUCACUGGCCCGAUACUGACGCUGAGGCACGAAAGCGUGGGGAGCAAACAGG